rnacentral:rRNA from 1 species
AGAGUUUGAUCCUGGCUCAGGACGAACGCUGGCGGCGUGCUUUACACAUGCAAGUCGAACGGAGAAGCACCUUCGGGUGUGGAUCAGUGGCGAACGGGUGAGUAACACGUGGGUAACCUGCCCCUCACUUCGGGAUAACUCCGGGAAACCGGGGCUAAUACUGGAUAUCACCAGACCGGGCAUCCGGACUGGUUGAAAGGGUUUACUGGUGAGGGAUGGACCCGCGGCCUAUCAGCUAGUUGGUGGGGUAAUGGCCUACCAAGGCGACGACGGGUAGCCGGCCUGAGAGGGCGACCGGCCACACUGGGACUGAGACACGGCCAGACUCCUACGGGAGGCAGCAGUGGGGAAUAUUGCGCAAUGGACGAAAGUCUGACGCAGCAACGCCGCGUGAGGGAACGAAGGCCUUUGGGUUGUAAACCUCUUUCAGCAGGGACGAAGCGAAAGUGACGGUACCUGCAGAAGAAGCACCGGCUAACUACGUGCCAGCAGCCGCGGUAAUACGUAGGGUGCAAGCGUUGUCCGGAUUUAUUGGGCGUAAAGGGCUCGUAGGCGGUCUGUCGCGUCGGAAGUGAAAACCUGGAGCUCAACUCCAGGCCUGCUUUCGAUACGGGCAGACUAGAGUUCGGUAGGGGAGACUGGAAUUCCUGGUGUAGCGGUGGAAUGCGCAGAUAUCAGGAGGAACACCAAUGGCGAAGGCAGGUCUCUGAGCCGACACUGACGCUGAGGAGCGAAAGCGUGGGUAGCAAACAGGAUUAGAUACCCUGGUAGUCCACGCCGUAAACGGUGGGCGCUAGGUGUGGGGAACAAUCUACGUUUUCCGCGCCGCAGCUAACGCAUUAAGCGCCCCGCCUGGGGAGUACGGCCGCAAGGCUAAAACUCAAAGGAAUUGACGGGGGCCCGCACAAGCGGCGGAGCAUGCGGCUUAAUUCGAUGCAACGCGAAGAACCUUACCUAGGCUUGACAUAUGACCAGAGCAUGCAGAGAUGUAUGUGCAUUUAGUUGGGGUCAUACAGGUGGUGCAUGGCUGUCGUCAGCUCGUGUCGUGAGAUGUUGGGUUAAGUCCCGCAACGAGCGCAACCCUCGUCCUAUGUUGCCAGCGGGUAAUGCCGGGGACUCAUAGGAGACCGCCGGGGUCAACUCGGAGGAAGGUGGGGACGACGUCAAGUCAUCAUGCCCCUUAUGUCUAGGGCUGCACGCAUGCUACAAUGGCCGGUACAAAGGGCUGCAAAAUCGUAAGAUUAAGCGAAUCCCAUAAAGCCGGUCUCAGUUCGGAUUGGGGUCUGCAACUCGACCCCAUGAAGUCGGAGUCGCUAGUAAUCGCAGAUCAGCAACGCUGCGGUGAAUACGUUCCCGGGCCUUGUACACACCGCCCGUCACGUCACGAAAGUCGGUAACACCCGAAGCCGGUGGCCUAACCCUUUAUUGGGAGGGAGCUGUCGAAGGUGGGACUGGCGAUUGGGACGAAGUCGAAACAAGGUA